rfam:Eutrema salsugineum unplaced genomic scaffold scaffold_11, whole genome shotgun sequence.
AAACCAUGAUGGGGACAUUGGUUUGUGUAAGUUCUACACCUCUCCCAAGCUUCCCCAAAGCUCUCAUUGUUGUGCUGGGUAAAGCUUGAUAUCUGGUUCCUCAACUU